rnacentral:rRNA from 1 species
UACAGAGGGUGCAAGCGUUGUCCGGAAUCACUGGGCGUAAAGGGCGCGUAGGCGGUGACUUAAGCGUGUGGUGAAAGCUCGGGGCUCAACCCCGAGUCGGCCGUGCGAACUGGGUCACUGGAGCAGAUCAGAGGCAGGCGGAAUUCCGGGUGUAGCGGUGGAAUGCGUAGAGAUCCGGAAGAACACCGGUGGCGAAGGCGGCCUGCUGGGAUCUUGCUGACGCUGAGGCGCGACAGCGUGGGGAGCAAACAGG